rnacentral:lncRNA from 1 species
CAAACAUCCAGAUUAAUGUUUGACCAACUAUCUGGAUGCUGUGGACUGGCCAAGUUGGUACAUAAAAUUAACUGCUCUGGCCUCACAAGAUUAAAACUUGGUAAGAAAGUAGACACGGAAGUGUGUCUCUGUCCAGUUCCACCUAAACUGUGCUGGCAGAAACUUUGGCUCCUGCUGCUUAGCUCCUUCAGCGACCUGCGAGUCUGUCUCACGAAAAGAUACCGACCGCCAUCUUGAAUUUCUAAGCACUAAACACGAAGAGAUAUGCUUCAGACCCUCUGAGCCCCUUUGUCUGCGUGGAACGGGUCUCUAGUCGCGGGUGGACAAAGCGUAGGAUGAGUGACAAACAGACGCACACAGGAGAGGUCGAGGAAUCUGAAUGUCAUUUUUCAAAUCGAGCAUCAGACUUUUUAUGCAGAAGACAAUAAGGAAGUUGGAUGACAUACCUGCAAGCUUUCCCAGAUAUCUCUGAAGAUACCAUUUUGAAUAGGACUCACAUCACUCACUGCCUUGGUAGGGUCAUCUUUGUUCCACAAGAGGAAAACUGUCCACGAGAGGGUGGAGAUCACUCUGGCCAUGCAUAAUCAGAUUAACAUCAACGGUCCUUUACUCUGAAGAAGCCAUGGAGACCCCUCUUGCUGAUUAAGCCAGCUCAGGCUCCUGUGGAUGCUAUGGCCCUGGGCACUGAGCCCAGCAUCUGAACUUGUUCCUGGACCAGAGGUUCGAGAUGUCCACUUCUGAGGCCAUUUACUUCUUUGUGGGCCACCAGCUGUU